GACGAACGUUGGCGGCGUGCUUAAUACAUGCAAGUCAACUGAAGCAGUGGUAGCAAUAUCGCUGUGGAGGUGGCGCACGGGUGAGUAACACGUAGGUAAUCUGCCUUCAGGUCUGGCAUAACUCCGUGAAACCGGGGCUAAUAGCAGAUGAUGCAGCGGCUCGACAUCGAGACAGUUGUUAAAGCUAUGGCGCCUGAAGAUGAGCCUGCGUCUGAUUAGCUAGUUGGCGGGGUAACGGCCCACCAAGGCAACGAUCAGUAGCUGGUCUGAGAGGAUGAUCAGGCACACUGGAACUGAGACACGGUCCAGACUCCGACGGGAGGCAGCAGUAAGGAAUAUUGCUCAAUGGGAGAAAGCCUGAAGCAGCACCGCCGCGGAAGGGACGAAGGGCGUUUGCUUGUAAACCUCUGUAGUGAGAGAAAAAAAUCCCACUCUGUGGGACAUGAUGGUAUCUCAAAAGUAAGCCCCGGCUAACUACGUG
rnacentral:rRNA from 1 species